rnacentral:lncRNA from 1 species
UUUAAAUACAGAGGAAAGUGUUUUUUUGUUCUCGGUUAAUCGAAGCUGGAAGGUUCCAGAGAGAGAGAGAGAGAGCGAUGAAUAGGGUGUGGAAAGGUUUCAUGCAUUGGUGUUGCAGACUUAAGAUCAUGUGCCACAAUCUCAGUGUUUUCAUUGAUGCAUGCAAACAUGUGGAAGUAUUGAAAUCGAAGCGACUGCUAGGAACCUCAUGGCAAUAUCUGUCUAUGUUAAACAGUGGAGGCUCAGAUAAAGCCAGCUUCAGGAUCUUCAAAAUAAUUGAAACUGGAGGAUUCGGAGAAUCUAACUGGGGACAUAUUCCACCCGAAGAGAGAACCAUACCAGUUGACUAAAUACCCAUGUGGAAUUAACUUGAGCUAAGUUAAACCUAUAUAUGAACUGGUUCUUUCUCUUGGAAUUAACUUCAAAUUUACUUUUCUGUUCUUAAUAUUCAACACUUUUUUAUUAAAAUCGUUUAUGCAUUUUACAUUGUUUGCAGUUUUUAUUAUUAUAGUAAGGUUGCAUGAAAGUGACAUGAUCUAAUUACCUCUAUAUACAAUUGUCUGAUAUUCUUCAAUGAUUCCAACAGUCACUAGUUGCAUGACUUAUGCAUGUUCUUCAUGAAAAUGGAACACGAGGUGAAUCUAACAAUUCCUUUUUGACUCACAACAUAGUCUUCUACUUCAUUUUCAGUGCUAACUGCUAAGCUGUCACAUGGUAUACUGUAAAAUUUCUAGCCAAAUUUCAAUGUUCAUGUUUCACAUUGUUCACCCAAGGCAUUUUAUGCAGCCCACCAAUGCAUACUGGUAUAAUGAUGGUUAUGCAGUUAGGCAUAACCAGUUAACAAGUCAAGCUUGUUAGUUUCCAGGUCCUCACAAUUUCUAGAAUUUAACUCAGGACUUUUAAUAAGAUUGAAGAACAUCAGACCAAAUGACCACGUAAAAGCAACAAUAUUAUUAAAAAUGCUUUUCUUAUGCAGUAUUAAAAUGGGGCAUCAUAUACAGUUUUUCUUAUUAAAAUUUGUUGUGCACAGGGCAGAAUAUGCAGGUUUAACAAGAUGGGUAAGGCCUUAGCCAAAAACAAAAGUCUGGGGCAUUCCGAGAAUCGAACUCGGGACCUCUCGCACCCAAAGCGAGAAUC